ensembl:lncRNA
UGGAGAUCCAGAUGUGACCCUGUGGGGGUAUAGCCUAAAAGCAGCCCUUUAAAUGGAGUCAUGAAGACCACCCUCCCAGGUCUGAGUGCUGUCAACAACAGUAACUGGCCUCUCCAUGUGUAACGGUGCCAGGUGCCACAGACACUUUGUCAUAAAUCCUCUGCACACAAGGCACACCUGCCUUGGCCCACUAGACAGGUGAAGAGACCCGGGUUUAACUUGCGGAACACGACACAAGCAGGAAGUGGCUGUGCUGGGGUUUGAACCCAGUCCUCUAACCUUCCAGCUGGAAGGGGAGUGAGCAGGCCACAGAGGCCAGCUGCAGCCCAGGGCCCUGGUACCCAGCUGGGGUGCCCCCAGGGCCGACAUGGGGUUCCAGGGUGGAGAGGAAAGUGGUGAGUCAAACAGAAAGCACCAGGUGGGGAGUGAGCUUCCUCCCCUCCCAGCUGCCCCUGGUGCCAAACUUUCACAGCCUGCUGCAGAGGAGCCCAGGGGGAGGGGAGGGCAGUGAAAGUGGUUGCUGCUGAAAGGAGACCGAUGUACUCCGGAUGUGGCGGGGGAGGGGGGACGCUGACAGUCACCCAGACUCUGGUUCCCAGCUGACAGGUGGGUGAGGAAAGUGAGUCCUCUCUCAGCAUAAGUUGGUAUAAAGCCUACCAGGCCAGAGGGGAGCAUUUCAGGUCCUCAGACCUGAGAAGUUCUGGGAGGAGACGCAGGUGGAUGGGCCUAAAACCCUUCUUGGAGUCAUCCCACAGCUCAAGAACUGACCAGGGCUCCCCACUUUCUGUUGGCACAGAAAUCCUCUCUUAUUCUGCCCAGCCCUGCUGCCCAGAUCCCUGGAGCUUUGGAAGUUUCAGACCAGCUUUUACAUGGAACUCAACUAUGUAUUUUUUAAAAGACAAAAGCAGUGUUUUAAAUGGCUUUUGUUAGUUCACGUUCUCAACACUUGGCAUUCAGUCCAUCAUGGUGAACAGCGAUGAGCACUGACGUUUAAACGGGGGGCUGGGGUGGGAGCUGCAGUCUUCUGUCAGCCUCAGCUUUCAGUUUCUUGCAGUAUUUGAUUUUGGUGGCACAGGACCAAGUGACCCCACCACGUGAUUUGCACAGACAAGUGGGUACAAAUGGGAGUGUGUUUCCGAAGGCCCCCUUGCAGUCUCUUUUAUUCCCAGAUACCUCAGGAGAAGCCUUAUGUCCUGCUCAGCCCAGACCCAAGACUCUGGACACAGGGGAAGGAGUCUUAACAGAUCAUAAUUUGGUGGUGUGCCCAUCUGAGUGUGUGUGUCUUUUUUAAACUGGGUUUUUUCCAGUAGUUAAAAAUAUGAUCGAAAGAAAAUGAGGGAGAGAGAAUGGAAAGGAAAUGAGGAAGGGAAGGGAAGGAGGAAGGGAAGGGAAGGAGAAAGGAAUUCAGGCUUCUGAGGAUGCCCUCGCUCAGGUUCUUGGUGAGGAAGCCCACCCUGACUGCUCCGCCCCCACCUGUCCUGGAGGUUCCAGUGCCUCCUCUUACUCAGCAUCUGUCUCAGCAAGUGAAUCUGGGCCACAUACUUCUGAAAAGUCUUAGGAGUCCACAACUCCUGGUUUCUGUGGGCCUUCCAGGUACUCAGUCCUGGUUCUGGGCAGGGCAGAAUGCCUUACACAGGGGACAGGGAAUAGGGGCUUCCCUGGGCUUUGUGUUGUGUCUCCAGAGGUGGGAGGACUGGGGAACCCAGUGCCCCUGAAAGCCUGGGGUUUCUGAACCUUCAGUUCUGGGAACUUGCUGUGCUUCAGAAAGAGAGAAAUGAGAAGCAAAACCCUAGAGCCUUAGCGCCACCAACGCCCCCUUCCUGUCUUCCUUCCGCUGAGUCAUAGCCAAGCGCCCAGCACCUCUGCCUCCUUCGGGGCCAUAUGGGUGGGGUGGAAUUCACGGUCACGUGAGGACACAGCAUCUGGACAAGUCCUCUUUUCCUGUGAGUGUCUGUGCAGAGCCCCGAGUUGCUCAGCACUAAAGCUGCCUCCCAAGCUUGGCGAAGUGGUGACUGAGGUCUUUAGUAUCCUGUGUCUCCCUGCGAUCCCCAGGCCAGCUGUUCACCUACAAGCACUGAGCACCAACUGUAAGCCAGAUAGCGUGAUUCAGCUGGGGCCCUGUCCUUGAGGAGCUCGUGGAUUUGGACGUGGACUCUUCCUCACAGGCCCCUAUGAGUGACUGGGUCCUUAGGCUUGUUCUGGUCAGUGGGGAGCCAUGCAGCCAGGCCACACCACACACGCCCAUCAUAAAGACCUGCACACGCUACACAGGUGUCCAUAGGUACGUGCAUGUGCACAAGUGUGGGACUGGGGCACGUGUGUCCAUGCCCAUGAUCAUUAGGGAAGAGAUAUCACCCUGUCUUGGAGGCCCAAGUACUGUCACUGAGUCACGAGAGUCCUUGGGAGUUUGAGUACUGUGCCCCCAUUUUGUGGAAAAGAAAGCUGAAGCCCAGAAAGGGUCCAUGAUUUUCCCAAGAUCACACAGCAAGUUGGGGGAGAUCUAGAAGGGGAACCAGCCAGACCUGGGCACCUGUCUACCUCCUUAACCCUUCUGGCCUGGCAUUUGGGGCUUGGCACCCCCUGAUGACCACACUGCAUCAAACUCUGGGUUGAUUCUCUAAGCAAACCACCUGAGGACCAACCACAGGGUCCUCCUGCACCCCGCCAUUCCCGGGAACUUUCCCUGCACUGCAUCUUUGCCUGGGUGACCUAGCUGCCUGUAGUUCCCUCUUUUUCUCAAUCAUUCUCUGUCUCUGAUUCCUCAAAUAAGAUCCAAACUUCCAAGUUCUGCUUAAAUGCUUCCUCUACCUUCUUUGACCCCCUGCGACUUUCCCCUACGUCUAGCCUCUCUUGGCCUCUGUGCCCCUCAUUCCCACCCACUGUGCACCCACCUCCUAAAUAUAAAAUUAACCCAUAGAGCCCUAGGCUGGCUGGGUGUGAGGGGUCCUUUGAGGCUGAGACAGUGGAAGCCACACCCAGGCCAGUCCAGCCCUCCAGACUUUGCCAGUCACUGAGGUGGGCCCUAGAGCUGGUAUAAGAGACAGCACCUUUGCUAGGCCUCACCACUUGCCCCCAACUCUGCCCCUUUGCUCAAAGCCCAGACCUGGAGCACUGUACUUGAGGUGAGAUUGAUUCCUCAACCAUUUACCAUCAACGUUUACCAUUCUGGGUUGUUUAUUCCCCCACACCUUGACUACCCCUCCACUGAGGGCUCGGCCUGUGUUUCAUGGGGUGGAGUGUGGGGGUCAAACAGAGUCGAGAACCCUUAGAUUUUUGUUGGGUGUCACUCUUUCAUUGAAUGACUCCGGCCAGAGCUGUCAGCUCCUUUCCAAAGCUCUUUCCUUCCACUUGGUCUCAGGAAGUGGGCAGGGGGCUGGCCAUCUUUGCCCCAUGAGGGUCUGAACCCCAUAAUGCAAGCUGUCCCCUCACUCCUCUCCAACCAUGACUGGGAGCCUAGGAUUGACUAUCGGACCUACCCUUGGUGCUGGAGUAUGAAGGAAAAAUGGACAGAGACACUGCCCAUCAGGAGUUGAUGGCCAAGAGGAGGACAGAGGAACUAGGAAGACUAUGAUUUCACCCAGCUCCAAAGCUGCCAUAUUCUGAGGAUGCUGGUGGAAGAUACAGCUUGGAAGAUAAUCCUGCUUGAGAAACAAAGCCCGUGAAUCCCAGAAGGAUGGGGAGUGUGU